rnacentral:rRNA from 1 species
UACGUAGGGCGCAAGCGUUGUCCGGAAUUAUUGGGCGUAAAGAGCUCGUAGGCGGCCUGUCACGUCCGCUGUGAAAUCCCGGGGCUCAACCCCGGGCCUGCAGUGGAUACGGGCUGGCUGGAGGCAGGCAGGGGAGAACGGAAUUCCUGGUGUAGCGGUGAAAUGCGCAGAUAUCAGGAGGAACACCGGUGGCGAAGGCGGUUCUCUGGGCCUGUACUGACGCUGAGGAGCGAAAGCGUGGGGAGCGAACAGG